GAUGAAGAACGUAGCGAAAUGCGAUACGUAAUGUGAAUUGCAGAUUUCAGUGAAUCAUCGAAUCUUUGAACGCACAUUGCGCCCGCUAGUAUUCUGGCGGGCAUGCCUGUUCGAGCGUCAUUUCAACCAUCAAGCCCUAGGCUUGCGUUGGAGCCCUGCGGCUGCCGCAGGCUCCCAAAUCCAGUGGCGGGCUCGUCGUCGUACCGAGUGCAGUAAACAUCCUCGCUCAGGGAACGUGACGGGUUCUUGCCAUGAAACCCCCCACAUAUCAAGGUUGACCUCGGAUCAGGUAGGAAUACCCGCUGAACUUAAGCAUAUCAAUAAGCGGAGGA
rnacentral:misc_RNA from 1 species